GCUGCCAAUAUGUUUCCGAAUGAAAUACAAAGUACUGGUUAUUACUUAUAAAGCCUUUAAUGGCUUAGGUCCAGGGUACUUAAGAGAGCUCCUUCUCUGUCGUGAACCCUGUCACCUCUUGUACACCACCUAGAGAUUAUAUAUUAGGCGGUAUAUAAAUUCAAUAGAAAGAAAGAAAGAAAGAAAGAAAGAAAGAAAGAAAGAAAGAAAGAAAGAAAGAAAGAAAGAAAGAGGUAUUAAGAAGAUCAUCUGGAGAGAUCCGGUUAUGGUUGCUGCCAACUCGUUUGGUGGAACCUCAGGACCGAACCUUCUCUGUGGCUGCCUCAGGACUUUGGAACACUCCCUGCUGAAAUAAGAGCAUCUCCUUCUCUGUUUGUUUUUAGGAGGACCCUGAAGACGUACCUUUCCCCCCAGGCCUUCAACUGAGACCAAAUUUUUAAAUUUUAAUGUGUUUUUCUCUAUUAUGACUUUUAUAUUUUUAUGAAUUUUAAAUGUUUUAUAUUUUAUAUUAUAUUUUAAUUCUGUACGCCACCUAGAGAUUUUGACAUUAAGCAGUAUAUAAAUUCUAACUAACUAACUAACUAAAAUGUAGGGAAAACACCAUAAAACUGAUUUUCUACCAGUUUUGUGCCCCCGUGUAGGAACUACUGGUUUACACAGUCGGGUUCAUCACUUGCUGCCAGUUGAAUCAUGUGUGAAGAGCCACCACAGAUUAAUCACCACCAGGGACAGAACUUUCGUAUUAGCCAAUAUUGGAUCAAAUAUAAUGUAUUUUAAUUGAGCCAGUUCACGCAUUCAACUACUUUGCGCAUACUGCAUAUAGGAGACCAGGGCUCUUUGUGGUACUGUGACUUGUUGCAGAGUAGAGCAUUUUCUGAAUUGAUGAGCAUGGUUUUCUGAAGAAACAAUAAAAGGAGACUGUCAGAAAUGAGUCACAGAUACUGAAGAGAAGAGGUUGCCAACAUUGUGUCUGCUAGAAGAAGUUAAAUCAUCGCUGGAGAAUUUGUGUUUUGAUGCAUCCGAGAGAGGCGAAACAGAUUCUAAACACCUCAGGGGAGAGGAGGAGAGGAUGUGCUGAGCCAUUUUGUGGCUCUUUUCUGCACCAAAAAACAAAAACAAAAAAACCGCCACAACCCUUCAAAAAAGAAUAAAAAUCAGAGGAUUUGGAUAUUUUGGAGGCACUGCUGGAGAGCUGAAGAGCAAGGGUAUUUCAGUAGCAUAGGCGAAACUGCUAUAACCACACUGAGAACCACUUCAAACAAAUGGCUUUGGCCUGAGCAGCUGUACCCAUGAUGUUACAUUUCGAGCAGCAAUGAUGCCACUGCUUGUACUUACAAACUGGCACUGGAUGGCUGGGGAAGCUGCCGAAGACACAUAUCAAAUGCCUUUGCCUGCUCCAAGUUCAGCAAGCCGAGAGAUCAACAUACAGAAUGAGGCUUUUCACUGUCAUUUCAGAACUUGAGUCACCCUCUGAGUUUAAAAAGCUGCUACUGCUCUGGCAAGGUGUGUGUGUGUGUGUGUGUGUGUGAGAGAGAGAGAGAGAGAGAGACAGACAGACAGACA